rnacentral:rRNA from 1 species
CCUACGGGGGGCAGCAGUGGGGAAUUUUGCGCAAUGCUCGUAAGAGUGACGCAGCGACGCCGCGUGAAUGACGAAGGCCUUCGGGUCGUAAAGUUCUUUCGACAGGGAAGAAAAUGCCUAUAAGUAACUGUGUAUGUAUUGACGGUACCUGUAUAAGCAGCCCCGGCUAACUCCGUGCCAGCAGCCGCGGUAAUAGGGGGGGGGCGAGCGUUGUUCGGAGGGACUGGGCGUAAAGAGCACGUAGGCGGUGUUGUAAGUCAUUAGUCAAAGACUAGAGCUCAACUUUAGUAAGGCUAGUGAUACUAUAAUACUAGAGUAUCAGAGAGGAUUGCAGAAUUGCUGGUGUAGCGGUGAAAUGCGUAGAUAUCAGGAGGAAUACCGUUAGCGAAGGCGGCAAUCUGGCUGGAAACUGACGCUGAGGUGCGAAAGCGUGGGUAGCAAACAGGAUUAGAUACCCUAGUAGUC